GUUAGUACAAAACUCCGGUAAGGAAAAAACUCGAACACACGAUCGGAACUCGAAAAGAAAAAAAAGAAAUAGGACAGGCUCCAAGGCGUGUAUCAAGCCACUAUCUUUAAGGUUAUAUUCGCCCCCACUUAUCUUCAGUGUGCAAACGAGUUCCAAGCAAAUUAACCUCGAGGAUACAAUGAAGCCAAUGACUAUUUGCGUUUUGCACUGACAAGAAUAGUCCACUAUGCACUGAGUAAUGUAUAACAAAAACUCAAUUUCUACAAAGGAUUUCUGCAGCAAUACUUUAUAGAAUAAUCUAAUAAUAUUAGAAAAUGAAGGAAGAGAAGAAAUAAUAUUAGAAUUUGUUGAUAUGAUUUCCAAAUGAAAUCCCAUUCCUAUUUAUAGGAAUUUUCAUGUCUCUUCAUAGAGACAUCUUUCAAUAGGUGUCUUUAUGAAUAAAUAAAUAAUAAUUAUUCAUUUAAUUUUGUAACUAUUCAAAUAAUAUUUUUUGAAUAGUUAUAAUUCUUUUUUAAAAAAUCAAAUGAUAUAACUUUUGACCAAUGACCAAAAGUUUUAUCUUUUGAUUAAUUACACCCAUUCAUUUAUAGUUAUUGGGAUACUAUAAAUAUUUGAAAAUAUUCCAACAAUCUCCCCCCAUUUUUAAAAUAUUUAGAUUUUGAUAUUCUUGGAAAUCAAUUUGCAUAAAUAAAGGUGUCUUACGAUUGAACCUUCACUUAGUGAAAACAUGUUAAAGUUAAUCGAAAUUGUAUGGUAGACUAAGCUUUGAACCAACUAUUCCAUUUGAUUAACUGAACACAUCUCACACAAUGAUUUCAACAUCAGUCAAUGCAUAGUAUCUAGGGACACUAUUAUAGCCAUGUGUCUAUGUCCUCUUUUCAUGAGUGCUGUCAGAGCCAAGCCCUUAAGCUCCUAGAAGCGGCCACACUUCCACUCACAUAGGUAGAUCCCAUCAAAAGUGUUCCCGUAAUUAUAACACUCUAACAUAUUUAUGUUAUGGGUCCAUUAAGAGUACAUUACUCAUCCUUCUCUUAUCAUUACGGGUACCUAGCACUUUAAUCUUAGGAUGGAUUUAUUUAUAGUUCUAACAGUCACAUACUAAUGAUGUACUUUGUCUCAUUGAACUCAAGACUUGACGUUAUACCAAGCGUUGAGUCGAGUUUCCAUCAUGGGUGACUCUAAUUAAUAGGCUUGAGUCCCAUCCCUUUUGAGGUCCUUUUUACUGCAUCUCUAGCAAGACUUUUUGUCAAAGGAUCUGCCAAAUUUUCACUUGACCUCACAAAAUUAAUAGUGAUCACUCCAUCAGAGAUUAAUUGUCGGACAUAACUAUGUCUUAAUCCAAUGUGUCUAGACUUUCCAUUAUAUACUUGGCUAUAUGCCUUUGCUAGAGUAGCCUCACUAUCACAACGGAUAGAAAUAGGUGAAAUUGGCUUAAGCCAUAAAGGUACAUCAUAAAGCAAAUUUCUUAACCAUUCUGCUUCUUUAGAUGCAGCGGCUAAUGCAAUAAAUUCUGCUGCCAUGGUGGAAUCAGUAAUACAUGUUUGUUUCUUGGAACCCCAAGAAAUGACUCCUCCACCAAGAAUGAAGAUCCACCCACUAGUAGAUGCAUGAUCUUCUAAACUUGUAAUCCAACUAGCAUCCGAAUACCCUUCUAAAACUGGAGGAUAUCCAUUAUAACACAAUCCAUAGUUAAUAGUUUUCUUUAAGUACCUAAGUACUCUAUUUAAAGCUUGCCAAUGCAAACUACUUGGAUUACUUGUGUAUCUACUCAAUUUUCCAAUAGCAUAUGCAAUAUCUGGUCUUGUACAAGUCAUUAUGUACAUAAGACAACCAAUUAGACUUGCAUAUUUCAAUUGAUCAAUUUUCCUACCAGCAUUAGAUACUAAUUUUAAUUGAGGAUCCAUGGGUGUAGAUGCUGGUAUACAGUUGAAAAGAUCAAACUUUUUAAGCACAUUUUCAAUGUAAUGUGAUUGUGAUAAAGCUAUAGUGCUUUCAUCUCGGGUUAUUUUAAUCCCAAGAAUAACAUCUGCUACACCCAUAUCCUUCAUAGCAAAGUUGUUUGACAAGAAUUUCUUUGUGUUUUCUAUUUGUUCCAAAUCCGUGCCAAAAAUGAGCAUGUCAUCUACAUAUAAGCAAAUUAUAACACUCUUUCCAUUAUCAAAUUUACUAUAUAUGCACUUAUCGGAUUCAUUUAUUUUAUAGCCAUUAGCUAAAACAACCUUGUCAAACUUUUGGUGCCAUUGUUUUGGUGCUUGUUUAAGCCCAUAUAAAGAUUUAACAAGCUUACAUACCUUAUGCUCUUGUCCUGGAACAACAAAUCCUUCCGGUUGCUCCAUGUACACUUCCUCUUCCAAUUCACCAUUUAAAAAUGCAGUUUUAACAUCCAUUUGGUGAACAACCAAAUUAUAUAUAGAGGUAAGUGAUAUUAAUAGUCUAAUUGUAGCAAUUCUUGCUACUGAAGCAUAGGUAUCAAAGUAAUCAAUACAUUGUCUUUGUGUAAAACCUUUUGCUACCAACCUUGCUUUAAAUUUAUCAAUGGUUCCAUCGACCUUCAUUUUCUUUUUGAAGAUCCAUUUACAACCUAUUGGUUUGGAACCUGGUGGAAAAUCAACUAAGAUCCAAGUUUGAUUUCCCAUUAUUGAAUCCAUUUCAUCAUUUAUUGCUUCUUUCCAAAAAGCAGAGUCUUGAGAUUUCACUGCUUCUUCAAAUGUAAUAGGAUCAGAUUCGGUAUUAUAACAAUAAGGUAUCUUAUUGCAUAUACUUUCACCUUUUCCUUCUACAAGAAACAUAAUGAAAUCUGGUCCAAAAUCUUUGACCUUUUUAAUCCUCUUACUUCUUCUUAAUUCUUGACAAGAUUCAUCAUUAUUAUCAAUUUGUUUCAAUGUAAUCUCAUUCUCAUUUGAAGAAUGAAUCAAUUGUUGUGGUUGUAAUUGUCUUGAUAUAGAAUUAAAUCUAUUUUCAUCAAAAAUAGCAUCUCUUGAUUCAAUAACCGUAUUAAUUGAAAUUGAAUCAUUUGGUUCAAUUACUAUGAACCUAUAUACCUUGCUAUUAUGUGCAUAACCUAUAAAUAUGCAUUCAAUUCCUCUUUCACCUAACUUUUUACGUUUAGGUGUUGGAACUUUUAUAAUAGCUCUACAACCCCAAACCUUUAAAUAAUUAAGGUUUGGUUUCCUUUUCUUCCAUUGUUCAUAGGGGGUUAUUUUAGUUUCCUUAUUAGGAACUCUAUUCAAUAUAUGACAAGCUGUUAGAACAGCUUCUCCCAAAAAACCCUGUCCAAGACCUGAAUAUGAUAACAUUGAAUUUACUAUUUCAAUCAAGACUAUAUUUUUCCUUUCAGCUACACCAUUUUGUUGUGGUGUGUAAGGGGCUGAAACUUGAUGGGCAAUUCCAGUGAGUUCAAAAUAACUUGGAUUAUAGUAUUCUCCACCUCUAUCCGAUCUUAAGCACUUGAUAAAUGAUUUACACUGAAGUUCAACUUCAGAUUUAUAAACUUUAAAUUUAUCAAGCGCUUCAUCUUUUGAAUGCAAUAAAUAUACAUAACAAUAUCUAGAACAAUCAUCAAUAAAAGUAACAAAAUAUUUCUUUCCACCUAAUGUAGAUGUAUUAUGCAAGUCACAUAAAUCACUAUGUAUCAAAUCAAGCAAUUCUGUUUUCCUUUUAACCUUAGGGAAAGGAUUUCUGGUAAUUUUAGUCAACAUACAGGUAUUGCAUUUUUCAAUAUUAUUAUUAAAAACAGGAAUUAAAUCUAAUUUAUACAUGUCAUUCAAUUUUCUAUAAUUCAAAUGACCUAAUCUAUAAUGCCACAAACAAAAUGAUUCAACCAUAUAAGCAGAAAUAGUAUUUUUAUUCUUAUUAAUAAUAUUAAGUUUGAACAUGCUUUCAUACAUAUACCCUUUUCCCACAAAAAUUCCUCCCUUAGACAAAAUAAACUUAUCUGCCUCAAAAACAAGUUUGAAACCAAACUUAUUCAACAGACUUCCAGACACUAAAUUUUUCCUAACUUCUGGUACAUAAUAUACAUCAUUUAAGGUUAAAACCUUUCCAGAAGUGAAUUGUAGUUCAACAGACCCUUUGCCUUUAAUUGUUGCGGUGGAAGAAUUUCCCAUGUACAAGACAUUGUCAUUUUCACAUUGUGUGAACUUUGUGAACAUGCUUUUGUCUUUGCACACAUGUUUGGUUGCUCCGGUAUCAAUCCACCAUGUAUUAUCAUCUUGUGCCAUAUUAAUUUCAGAUAUCAUUGCAACGAACUUUUCGUUAUUAUCAGCCUUAGAAGAUGAUUUCUUCUUUAAAAAUCGACAUUCAUUCUUGAAAUGUCCCGACUUUCCACAAUGAUAGCAUGAGCCCUUUUGUUUCUUUUUGAACUUAGGUGCUCUAUCAGUCUGAUUGAACUUUCUCUUGAAUGGUUUAGUAGUCUGUACUUCCUCUGUAACAUGUACUUUGGCAUUUUCAGAAUUUAGGUUCUGAUCUUGUUUUCGAUACUCUUCUUCAAUACGAAGAUGAUUUGCCAAAGCCUCAAGAGAUAUUUCCUCUUUCUUAUGUUUUAGACUUCUUUUAAAGUCUUUCCAAGAUGGAGGAAGUUUGUCUAUUAUGGAGGAUACCACAAUCAUUUCAUCCAUUUUCAUAUCAUAUUGCUUAAAUUGAUUCAGCAUCUUUUCAAUAUCACGAAAUUGUUCCAUAACAGAACGACCAUCAACCAUUUGAUAAUUAUUGAAACGACUAACAAGAAAUUUCUUACUUGUAACAUCUUCGGUCAUGUAUCUUGCCUCCAAUUUGUCCCAUAAUUCUUUAGCGGUGACGUCGUUUUGGUAGGUGUCGAACAAACCAUCAGAUAAACCAUUCAAUAUGUGGCCCAUGCACAUGUAAUCAGCAUUGUCCCAUUUUUGUCUUUCUCGGGUUGCAGCAAUAGAUUCAUUUUCAUUCUCUUCAGGUCUUGGAGUAUCCAAAAUAUAAGCAAUCUUCAAAGUUGAUAACAAAAAGUGCAUCUUUUUCUGCCAUCGUCGAAAAUUGCCACCAUCAAAACGAUCAAGUUUAACAAAGUUGGAAGCCAACUCCCUUAGUGUUCCACUUUCAUGUGUUGUGGUAGUCAUCAUGAAAUAUAACCUUAAAAUUGUUAUUACAAAACUCCGGUAAGGAAAAAACUCGAGCACACGAUCGGAACUCGAAAAGAAAAAAAAGAAAUAGGACAGGCUCCAAGGCGUGUAUCAAGCCACUAUCUUUAAGGUUAUAUUCGCCCCCACUUAUCUUCAGUGUGCAAACGAGUUCCAAGCAAAUUAACCUCGAGGAUACAAUGAAGCCAAUGACUAUUUGCGUUUUGCACUGACGAGAAUAGUCCACUAUGCACUGAGUAAUGUAUAACAAAAACUCAAUUUCUACAAAGGAUUUCUGCAGCAAUACUUUAUAGAAUAAUCUAAUAAUAUUAGAAAAUGAAGGAAGA
rnacentral:lncRNA from 1 species